AAAAUGCAUUUGUGGGCUUUUGUGCAUCUGACACCCCAGGGAGCGAGGAGAAAGCAGGCCACCUGCCCCCGAGCACUACACCUGUGACACCUGUGACAACAGCUUCUGGAAACAGAAAUACAGAUCACCAACCCGAGGAUGAUGUUGGGGCGCGGUGACUCAAGACCUGAAAAACAAAACAUCGUGCAGAGUUCAGAAUUUAACGAUAGCCGAUAUUCUCCAGACGUAAACCCUGUCAAGGGCAGUGAUGGGGCACGUUUCAAUAGGAAGGAGGAAGAAACUCGCUGGCAAAACACAAUCGAGUGUUUGAACAGCUUAUUGCAAACAAAAGACCCCGGGGCACACCGUCGCCUCCGCCGUCCAGCCCCCACGUCACAGCCACAGAACCCAGGGCCCAGUUCAUGAGUCAAGUCAUCCCAAUGAGCAGAGCCUACGUUACAGAUUUAAAGAUCAGAUGUAAUUAAAGCAAUGGCACGACGGAGGAGGCCGGCGAGGCCAGCGUGCAAACGUCAGCAUCUGCUGACCUAUAAGAGAUGAAGCAUGUACGCACCAGAAUUUUUUUUUUUUUUUAAACAAAAUCUUAGCUUUGUUCUUUUACUUGCCUCUCACUACACAUCAGAAAGGUAACAGCCCUUCCUGGAACUCACGCACUGCGCUACAUAAUUCAAGCUACACGUACGAAUACCGAAGGUUCCAUUAGGGAGCAGUUCCACGGCUUGUUUGCAACGAUCCCCUCAGCACGUGCCAUUAGGGAAGGUCACCCAGCUGCUGGCGUCACAGUUACAGUUAAUGGGAAAGACCAAGCUGACUGGAAGGGCUAUGAUAAACACCCUUGUAGGUUUAGAAGGGAAUUCCGUUAACAUCAACAAGGGCCAAGUCCUGCUCAGUCUCUGUGAACACGGGACAGGGUGCUUAAAGACAAAGGCGGGGUGUUCCGUGAAGAGCAGUCCGCAUGGAAAAGUUCCUGGGCACAGGAUGGUUCUUAAAAAUACCCAUUUCUUAAAUAAAAAAGGCUUACUCCGUCCUAAA